rnacentral:lncRNA from 13 species
UAUAGACUCCAGCAGCUACUAGACUAGACAGAGGCAGUGAAAUUGCACUUGGCCUUGCUCUCUUGUUUACUCGCUUCCAACAACAAGUAAAAUAGCUGGUUUCUCCCUGGAACCACAAUGUCUCUCUGCGGCUUCGUCGACUCACUUUCCUGUUUUUCCAAGUAUCACUGCCUAUUGUUUUCGCUUCACAAGGAUGUUUAGAUACCUUAACCCCGGUCGUCACCUGUGUCUGUUUUGUAUGUGUUGUUCUCUGUCGAGGGUCUCCAAAGUGAGAGGUGGGGGAUAGAGAGGGAAGUAUAUGUUUGAGGGAGGGAAAGGUGGAAGAAAUGCUCCAUAGUCUCGCACACAAGAAAUAUGGCAACCAGAUGACUACUACCAGCACAACGGAAGUCUCCCCCACAAGUAUUGUCAGAUGCCAGCCUACAAACACGGAACAACUUCGGAGGGGAAGGAGUGAGGAGGACAGGGAGAUAAUGAUGAGGAUGACAAGUGGAAUGCACACAAACACAAAGUAGGUAAGGUUGACACACACACAGACACACACACACACACACACACCACUACCUUGCUACUUUUCUCUUUUCUCUCUCCUUGAUCUCCACUCUCUGAAUAGUUAAUUGAUCCAAGAGAGUCCAGCUUGAAGUUCACUUCCAGGAGCUCUUGACUGCUUGACUUCACAUAUGAAGCAUGUAAAACUUCUAAAGACUUAAGUUUUGACCGUUUCUUACGGUUUGCUUUGUAGAACAACAAAACAAAUAGCACUGAAGAUUUGCUAAUCAUUACCACACGCCCUUCCACAGAUGUGAAGGUUGAGACUGUUGGGAGUUAACAUUUGUGAAGGUGGGUGUUAUGGUGGUGUGGUUGCGUGUGUGCCCGUGUGUGAGUGUGCAUGUGUGUGUAUGCUCUGAUAGAAAGCGAGAACUGUUAAGGAAUCCCCCCCCCCAGCUCUCCAAAUGGGGAUACUUGGUUGACGGAGUGCAGCUUUAUGUGUGAAACGGAUCCCCUGUUUGUUUAGGGGAGAGAGCCUAAUCGUAUUGGCCGACCUUUGCUCUCUCUGGCCACACAGAGACGGGGAGUCAGCCGCCCAUUUUUGGCUUUUUACGAGGUAUGGUGACCGAAGCCCUUGACGGUGUCUCUGAGAAGUUACAGUGGACUACGGGGACUGAUAUCUUUAGCAUCAUCUUUCCCAGAGUUAUCACUCUGUGAAAAGCUUUUAUUGGCCCGUGCACUAAUGGGUUUGUUGAUGUCCGAGCUGAAGGGGAAGUGUUAUGCUUGAAACUUCGCAUGCUAUUCUUUCUGUUGUAGCUUUAUAGGCCUACGGCACCUUUAUUUUAGGUCCUCAAAUAGUAGAUGGAAAAAUAAGAAUUAUAUUAAUGCAAACAGAAGGAUUAUGGACAUGUAAACAUUGAUUGAUCAGGUUGAUUAGUCAGGUUUUGUGUGUUGUUUGAACCGUACAGAGUAUAACAAACGUUGUCUUUAUAGGCUCAGGCUAUUGGAUAAUUUCCCGUCAAACAUUCAACUUUUAUAUUUAUACAUGCAGAGAGCUAAGAUUAUGCCAUUUCACACUCUUUAAAAAAAAAUAUAUAUAUAUUUUUUUAAAUGUUCCUAUCGUGGAGAUCCUGUACAUAUAAUUGUCAAGAUGUAUAAUGGUCUGAUGUUGUUUAUCAGGAUUGUUUGCCCUGUUUAUGUUAUCCGGAACUGCAGUUUUGUGUCAUUAUUGUGAGCCCUUCGGUAUGGAUAGAUUCUACUUUUUACAGCAGCACAAAUUUUAUUUUCUUCACUGUGCUAUGUGUGAAAACAACAUUUGCAGCUUACUGCUGAGAAACUUAACAAAAAAACACAUAUUGCAACAAAAAAAUGAAAAGUAGUCCAGAAAGAGACCAUUUUACCAGCCAAAGACAUUUACGGCUGACAAGUUUGAGGUUGCAACACAUUUAUCAGCAAGAGCUAUCUAGCGUUUAGGAUUUCUGUCGCGAGCCCAGACCUUACGUCAUGGAGCUCUGAGUAGAGAGCAGGCCUGGUUACAGUUCAAAGUCCCAUAGGGGCCACGCUUCAAGCCCACUCUGAUUUCUACUGAGUUAAAGAUCCACAAUGCAAGGUUGUGAUGGAUUUUUGAAGAUUGCAGGAAAAAAGCAACAAGGCAAAAGGAGUGAAGGACUGGAGGCAGAGGCGGAGGGAGGAUCACAUUUCUUUAAAAGCACUCAAAUGUUGUUUCAACUCCUGCUUGAUUUCCUGAGGGCCCACUGUUCUGUUUUGGGGUGGGGAGUUUAGAUUUGCAUAUGCUCCACCCCCCCUGUUCUGAUUGGCUGGGUCCUAUCCUGCAUGUUUCAUCACAGAUCCAAACUUCCUCAGUGCUCUCCUUGCUUUACUUUGUAGCUACAGGCUGAUGAAGCGGGACACUGGGAGCCAGCAGCUGUCUGUGAUUCAUGCAGUAAGCUGUGAGUGUGUGUAAGAGAGGGAGGCAAUAGCUCUAUUUAUAGGGUUCUGUAAUUUAGUUAUCUGACUAAACUUAAGGGCUCUAAGGUUGUUGGUAUAAAAGGGAUGUAGGGUUGUCUUUCAUUCAUUUUAAAUCUGUUUUGUUAGGAAAAAUAUUAGAUUGUUUCAUUGCUAGAUUGAGCUGUAAUUGUUGGUAUAUUUUGUGCUGAUACUCAGAGCUUGGUAAAAGUGUAAGAAUAUGGGUAGAUGAGCUGUUUGAUUCAUGGCUUAUAUUGAUAAAUGUAUUUUAUGUUUUGUCGAUUUAUAACUAAAAUAUUUGACUUUUUUACUGUAUCAGGCUAUUUUAAAAGGAUAUAUUUUCUAUCAAUAGUUUAGUUUUUUCACCAGUCAUUAUUUAAAUUGAAGAAGGGGAAAUAAGUUGUUUUUUGUGGG